rnacentral:rRNA from 1 species
UACAGAGGGUGCAAGCGUUGUUCGGAAUUACUGGGCGUAAAGCGCGCGUAGGCGGUGAUCCAUGUCAGAGGUGAAAGCCCGGGCUCAACUCCGGAAUUGCCUUGAAACGGGAUCGCUAGAGUCCGAGAGAGGAUGGCGGAAUUCCUAGUGUAGAGGUGAAAUUCGUAGAUAUUAGGAAGAACACCGGUGGCGAAGGCGGCCAUCUGGCUCGGUACUGACGGCGUCCAGGCUCGACGGCGAAACCGG